CCCGUCUCUGUGGCAAAAGAGUGGGAAGACCUUCGAGUAGAGGUGAUAAACCUACCGAACUUAGUAAUAGCUGGUUGCCCAACAACUGGAUAGAAGUUCAGCCUCCCGGCUUCUUUCUUCUCAAAUCCCUCUGUCUUUACAGAUAACCAUAAGAAACCAGGAGAGUUAGUCAAAGGGGGUACAGCCCCUUAGAAACAAGAUACAACUUUUACAGGAGGAUAAAGAUCAUAAUUAACCAAGGCAGUAUUUUAGGGUGGGCUUAAAAGCAGCCAUCCCGUCAAAAAGCGUUAAAGCUCAAACACAUAAUGUCAUAAGCCCCAAGUUUCGACUACUUCUUCUUACUCCCCUUAUCCUACUGGGCCGUCCCAUGCAAACAUGGGAGUGAUCCUGCUAAAAUCAGUAUAUAAGAGAACCUAACGGCUCUCUCCCUGCAUAUGUGUAAAUCGGAAACGGACAAUCCACCGAACCUUAACGGACCCAAAAAAAGCGGGAACUGAACCACAAAUAAAACAACCAGAAAAACACCCAAACAAACAACCGUUAACCCCACACAGGUAUGCUCUUAGGGAAAGACUAAAAGAAAGAGAAGGAACUCGGCAAACACACUCAGCCUCGCCUGUUUACCAAAAACAUCGCCUCUUGCUAAACCAAAAGUAUAAGAGGUCCCGCCUGCCCUGUGACUAUAUGUUUAACGGCCGCGGUAUUUUGACCGUGCGAAGGUAGCGCAAUCACUUGUCUUUUAAAUGGGGACCUGUAUGAAUGGCAUAACGAGGGCUUGACUGUCUCCUCUUUCAAGUCAAUGAAAUUGAUCUCCCCG
rnacentral:rRNA from 1 species